rnacentral:rRNA from 1 species
UGCAGCCGCGGUAAUUCCAGCUCCAAUAGCGUAUAUUAAAGUUGUUGCAGUUAAAAAGCUCGUAGUUGAAUUUCGGGAUCAAUUUAUCGGUCGUGCCUAUGGUAUGAACUGGUACAAUUGGUUUCUCCCUUCUGACGAAGCAUGAUGUCAUUAAUUUGGUGUCGUGGGGAAUCAGGACUGUUACUUUGAAAAAAUUAGAGUGUUUAAAGCAAGCAUUAGCUUGAAUACAUUAGCAUGGAAUAAUGAAAUAGGACGUUUGAUCCUAUUUCGUUGGUUUCUAGGACCGACGUAAUGAUUAAUAGGGAUAGUUGGGGGCAUUAGUAUUCAAUUGUCAGAGGUGAAAUUCUUGGAUUUAUUGAAGACUAACUACUGCGAAAGCAUUUGCCAAGGAUGUUUUCAUUAAUCAAGAACGAAAGUUAGGGGAUCGAAGACGAUCAGAUACCGUCGUAGUCUUAACCAUAAACUAUGCCGACUAGGGAUCGGAUGAUGUUAAUUUUUUAAUGACUCA